rnacentral:rRNA from 1 species
AUGGUGUCUCUGUCAGAAACAAUGCAGAUAGGCAGACCAUGUAGUUUAAUGACAUUGUCCAGUAAAGCUUCAAACACAGUUUGUACUGAAAAGGGAUGUGCAAGGGGUAUGAAGUGUGAGUAUUUGGUCAGUCUGUCCACCACUACUAGAAUGACCACUUUUCCCUAUGAAUUUGGUAAGGCAGUGAUGAAAUCCAUUGUUAUGUGUGCCCAGGCCAUAUCAGGAACAGGGAGUGGUUGCAACAGUCCAGGAGGAUGGAUGUGUUCCACCUUGUUCAAUUGGCAAACAAGACAUUGGCUGACAAAGUCCUCUAUAUGUUUCUUCAUGUUGGGCCAAUAG